rnacentral:rRNA from 1 species
UGAACGCUGGCGGCAGGCCUACCACAUGCAAGUCGCGCGGAUGAAGGGAGCUUGCUCCUGGAUUCAGCGGCGGACGGGUGAGUAAUGCCUAGGAAUCUGCCUGGUAGUGGGGGAUAACGUCCGGAAACGGGCGCUAAUACCGCAUACGUCCUGAGGGAGAAAGUGGGGGAUCUUCGGACCUCACGCUAUCAGAUGAGCCUAGGUCGGAUUAGCUAGUUGGUGGGGUAAAGGCCUACCAAGGCGACGAUCCGUAACUGGUCUGAGAGGAUGAUCAGUCACACUGGAACUGAGACACAGUCCAGACUCCUACGGGAGGCAGCAGUGGGGAAUAUUGGACAAUGGGCGAAAGCCUGAUCCAGCCAUGCCGCGUGUGUGAAGAAGGUCUUCGGAUUGUAAAGCACUUUAAGUUGGGAGGAAGGGCAGUAAGUUAAUACCUUGCUGUUUUGACGUUACCAACAGAAUAAGCACCGGCUAACUUCGUG